rnacentral:rRNA from 1 species
UAGGGAAUCUUCGGCAAUGGGGGCAACCCUGACCGAGCAACGCCGCGUGAGUGAAGAAGGUUUUCGGAUCGUAAAGCUCUGUUGUAAGAGAAGAACGUGUGUGAGAGUGGAAAGUUCACACAGUGACGGUAACUUACCAGAAAGGGACGGCUAACUAUGUGCCAG